GCUGGCGGCAGGCCUAACACAUGCAAGUCGAGCGGUAACAUUUCUAGCUUGCUAGAAGAUGACGAGCGGCGGACGGGUGAGUAACGCGUAGAAAUCUACCUAGUAGUGGGGGAUAGCCCAGAGAAAUUUGGAUUAAUACCGCAUACGCCCUACGGGGAAAGCGGGGGAUCUUCGGACCUCGUGCUAUUAGAUGAGUCUGCGUCGGAUUAGCUUGUUGGUGAGGUAAUGGCUCACCAAGGCGACGAUCCGUAGCUGGUCUGAGAGGAUGACCAGCCACACUGGAACUGAGACACGGUCCAGACUCCGUACGGGAGGCAGCAGGUGGGGAAUAUUGCAACAAGUGGGCGCAAGCCUGAUGCAGCCAUGCCGCGUGUGUGAAGAAGGCCGUUAGGGUUAGUAAAGCUACUUUCAGCAGUGAAGGAAAGGGGUGUCGUUAAUAGCGCCAUCCUGUGACGUUAACUGCAGAAGAAGGACCGGCUAACUCCGUG
rnacentral:rRNA from 1 species